rnacentral:rRNA from 1 species
AGGCCUUCGGGUUGUAAAGCCCUGUUACCUACUAUGAACCGCUGGCGGGGAAUAGCUGUCCAGCCUGACGUAAGUAGGAGAGGAAGCACCGGCUAAAUACGUGCCAGCAGCCGCGGUAAUACGUAUGGUGCGAACGUUGUUCGGAAUCACUGGGCAUAAAGAGCGCGUAGGCGGUCUGGAAAGUCCGACUGUGAAAUCCCUCGGCUCAACCGAGGAACUGCAUCGGAAACUUCCAGACUAGAGUGCAGGAGGGGAGAGCGGAAUUCCUGGUGGAGCGGUGAAAUGCGUAGAUAUCAGGAGGAACGCCGGUGGCGAAAGCGGCUCUCUGGUCUGCAACUGACGCUGAGGCGCGAAAGCCAGGGGAGCGAACGGGAUUAGAUACCCUGGUAGUCCACGCCGUAAACGAUGGGCACUAGGCGUCGGGGGGAGCGACCCCCUCGGUGCCGCAGCUAACGCACUAAGUGCCCCGCCUGGGGAGUACGGCCGCAAGGCUGAAACUCAAAGGAAUUGACGGGGGCCCGCACAAGCGGUGGAGGAUGUGGUUUAAUUCGAUGCAACGCGAAAAACCUUACCUGGGCUUGACAUCCCGCGCUAUCCAGAGAAAUUUGGAGUUCCCUUCGGGGACGCGGUGACAGGUGCUGCAUGGCUGUCGUCAGCUCGUGUCGUGAGAUGUUGGGUUAAGUCCCGCAACGAGCGCAACCCUUGCCAUUAGUUGCCACC